rnacentral:sRNA from 1 species
ACAAGUUGCACUUAAGAAGCUAUGCUAAAAAAUCAAACACACAGAAACCUACAUCAUUACAUUUAUAGAAUGUUCAAGAACUGAUGAAACCAGUCCAUGGUAACAAAAACCAGAAAGUGGUUGCUUCUGGGGACCAGAAGGGAAAGGGGCAUAAAGGGACCUUUUGAGGUGAAUAGAAGUUUCUGCAUCUUGGUUUGGGACACAUGCCAAAACUCACCAGCUACAGAUUCUCGUUGACACUGGAAGCAGUAACUUUGCCGUGGCAGGAGCCCCGCACUCCUACAUAGACACGUACUUUGACACAGAGAGGUCUAGCACAUACCGCUCCAAGGGCUUUGACGUCACAGUGAAGUACACACAAGGAAGCUGGACGGGCUUCGUUGGGGAAGACCUCGUCACCAUCCCCAAAGGCUUCAAUAGUUCUUUUCUUGUCAACAUUGCCACUAUUUUUGAAUCAGAGAAUUUCUUUUUGCCUGGGAUUAAAUGGAAUGGAAUACUUGGCCUAGCUUAUGCCACACUUGCCAAGCCAUCAAGUUCUCUGGAGACC